rnacentral:lncRNA from 1 species
AACAAUUCUACCACCAUUGGGUUCUGCCUCUCCCAUCAGCCUGCUGGGAGCUAGUUGGAGGGGAAUUGGGGUUUUGCUGGUGCUUGUAGUUUAUAUCAACUUCCAUGCCCUUUAUUUGUUCCUGUUGGCAGCCAUACCAUUCAUAUCACCAUAGCAACCACAGGAAGGAGGGGUGAUAGAUUGCCAUUGUCAACUGCUUGAAGAAGUACUGGUAAAAUAUAUCAUCCUCCUGGGAGUAUGAGGUUUUGAAGGUCCUGUGACUGCUUUGAUGACAUAUAUACUCGUGCUCAGCCCAGGGAUACCCUUCACAAGCCGGGGUAGCUAACCAACCCCAUUCCAUUGUUAAACCUUCAGGCUGGUUCUGUGUUAGCUGCUUAAAGCUCACUCAACCGUGGGAUAACCUGCCCAUUUUAAGCCUUUUCAGAAUGUCCUUGGGAAACUGCCAAAUAGCCCGGCAGGAAAAUUGGCUGGGGUAGGUUCACCAACUGAGCAAGACGCGCCCAAAAGAAUCACCCAGGUGUUAAGCCAACCUGCAUAGAUACUGUAAAGAAAUAUAUUUUUUCAAUUUGCCACUGGAAAGCUAUAAAUAACAGCCACAUAAUUCAGUACUUUAAAAUGAAGUGCUGCCUGGAUAGAAACCUCUUCAAGAUGUGUCUUCAAGGAUUUAACCCAAAUCUUUCCUGCAACUUAGGCCUACUGGCUCUUUAUCUGGCUUUGGUUGCAGUGGAAACAGCUGGUCACCAUCCAGAUGAUAACCUUUCAUCUUCUUGAAGAUGGUGAUUAAAUCACUCAUCAUCUCUUCUUCCCCAGGAUGUUGUGAAGAUUAUGUCAGCACGGUGCCUAGAGCUCCCUGGAGAUAAACUGUGCAUAAAUACAGUUUGCUAUUAAUUUAUCAUCACGGUAGGCAGGAAAUUCAGUUGAAGACAGUAUUUUCAUCUCUGCCUGAGAAGUAGCUGACGCAUAUUCAAGCCUACACCUUCCACUUUAUCAAUUCUAAGUAACUGCUAUUCUUUAGGGGAUUAUGUGUUGCAGGUCUCCAUUUCUGAAGGUGGAAGAAGACAUCAGGAAGUGGACUGGACAAUAUGAGUAGCAAUAAUAAUAGCUUGGACUAUGCUACAUGGGUACUUGACCUACUCUGAUCCACUUGUCACAGCAGACCUGGGAGGUGUGGAUUAUCCCCAUUUUACAGAUGAAGAAACAGGUUGGGCAAUCUGCCCAAGGUCACCUAACCAGCAAGAGACGGGUAUUGCUAAAUUAGACAACGUGCUUAUUUUAUCUCACUUACUCCUCACAAGACCACUAAGAGAAAGGCUUGAUUCCCAUUUAAGAGAUGGACAAACACACUGAGAAGCUAACUUGUCUCUGGUUCCACAUUGUAAGCAGACUGAGACUAGGCUGAGUCUCAGGCGUGCCUACAACCAGAGCUGUGCUCUUCCACCAAGCUACAGGGCAGAUGUCUGGUGCUCUGUCAGCAGUUCAGAAAGAUAUUUUGCAAUCUGUGUUGACAUCCGGUUAUGUAAAUCUGCCCCAAGCUAGGAUUUUCCUUCAUUCUUUAGGAUUAGAGAGAAGUUUUUGAUGUGUCUCAGCAUCUGUCCUUAGCGUUACUACUUGUUUGCUCCGUUAGGCUGUCUGAUGGUCAUGAAAGGGCAGUCCACCCAGGGCAAUGUAAUUAUUUUCCCUCGCUAAAUGUUUGAGGCAUGACCAUCUUUACUCAUGGUCGUUUACGCAGAAAUGAGAAAGCUCUGUCUCAGCUAUUUGAUGCAGCGUAAAUGUGGUGGACAGUGACAUUCAACAGGUCCAGAAAGGUGGGUGCAGGAAAACCCUGUAACAUUUGCUGGGCCCUCAGGCAGCUGCGGCUUUUCUUUCCACCGUGGCAUUUCAGACACAGAUUCUCAAGCUGUUACCAACCCAGGCGGCACCCGGCGCCUACAUCGUCCUGACCUUUAUUUUUACUGGAUCUAUUUCUUCUUCUUCUGACAGUCACUGUACCCCACCAUCUGGCCUAGGACAAGAAUCAGGUAUUUGUGGUCUGUGAGGACAAAGAACCUAGUUUUACAUGGAAGAAACUGCUUAGAAGCGGGAAAAAAAAUGAAGAAAGCUGAGGAAACUAACAUUCCCAAGCCCUGCUGGUACAUACGUAUCCUACCCCCUCCAGAUUUGCAUUUCAAAGCCUCCCUGUGUUUUGAUUUUUUUUUUUUUUUUUUGGCUUUUCUUCUUGCCUUAUCCAUUGUAACUUGUCUUAAUACCUUACCUCAGGUGAGCUCAGAUUGGCAGAGUGAAUUUUAACCAAAACAUGAAUUAUCAUUUGAAAAACAUUGGUGUGUCUUUUAUAUCUAUGACCCCUCAUGAAAGUGAGUUGAGCUUUUACAAGAUAACACAAGUCAUAUACAAUCAGUAUGAGCCAAAGAAUCUUCUCAUUCACCAGGACUAAAAUUAGAGUCAGGAGUGACCACAAAAGUCUGCAGAUGGAGCAAUAAGAAGGAGUCCAGAGGAGGCCUGGAAAGAGACUUCAUUCCCUGUGUAUAAACAGAGCAUCCUGCCAACAGUUCAACCACCUGCUCUUUGUCACUGGAACUGAGAAGCUGCAGAUUCUGGUGGCUAGGGUUCAAGCUACUGGAACUGCCUUGUAGAUCCACUCUCCACCCUCCAUCCUGCUCUCUGUAGAGGCUGACUUGUGUGAACUGUGCUCCUGUGGCUUAUGGUUGGGUCUGGCAGUGGUGAGCCCCAGCAGGAGAUCAGAUGGAGAGAUGAGAGGGAGGAGUUUUGGGACGCUAACCAAAAUAUCAACAAUGUAUAAGCGACAUAAAGCAGGAUCCAAAGGGACUUGGAAUGAGAAGAACAAUUGGAUGAUUCUAACAAGAUGAUGUUUAAUAUAAAGUUCAAGUGAAGAUGUGGU